CAAAGGAAGCAAGAACACAGCUAGACGACAUAGGAAUGAUUGUGGAAGGGGCCUUGGAACCACGAGGCCUCGCACCAGCGGCUCCGGGGGGUGCUGGCCACCAGGAGAUUCCGACCGCAGCCCAUCCACAAAGCCCACAACCGAGAGACGCCGAGCAACACCGGCCAGCUCACCUCCACAGGCCCUUCACCACACCGGCUUCACCGCCUAGACAUGCAUGCGAUCAGACACAUGGAGAAAGCACCCACAGAGCUCCGUUCUUCCGGCCUUUGCUUUGGUUUGGAUAAAGGGGUGGUUUUUCCAAUACACAGAGUGCCCAAAGGGGCUAGUUUGGGGGCUCCGGUCCUGUGGGCUGCAGAUUCCCACCAGGGAUGGUUCUAUCUAAAUUGCCGUGGAAGGAGACAAAGCAGG